GGAGCGGUAGUUCAGUUGGUUAGAAUACCGGCCUGUCACGCCGGUGGUCGCGGGUUCGAGCCCCGUCCGCUUCG
rnacentral:tRNA from 1 species